rnacentral:pre_miRNA from 11 species
CUAGGGCAGGUUCCCAAACUUGGCAACUUUAAGACUUGUGGAUUUCAGCUCCCAGAAUUCUCCAGCCAGCUAUGUCCACAAGUCUUAAAGUUGCCAAGUUUGGGGACCCCUGCC